rnacentral:rRNA from 1 species
CCUAACUCAAUGCUACACAAAACCCCCACCUCACAACUAAAACAUUUUAACAUUUUAGUAAAGGCGAUUGAAAAACUACUUGGAGCAACACAACACGUACCGCAAGGGAAAAGUGAAAUAAAAAUGAAAAACUUAAGCACAAAAAAGUAGAGACUGCCCUCGUACCUUUUGCAUCAUGGUUUAACUAGUCUAAUCAAGCGAAACGACUUAAAGUUUGACCCCCCGAAACUAGACGAGCUACUUCAAGGCAGCUUAAUGAGCAAACCCGUCUCUGUUGCAAAAGAGUGGGAAGACCUUCAAGUAGGGGUGACAGACCUAACGAGUCUAGUGAUAGCUGGUUACUCAAGAAAAGAAUUUAAGUUCAACCUAAAAUUAACUAAAUAGCACAAAAUAAUAAAUCUAUUUUAGAGCAAUUCAAAUAAGGUACAGCCUAUUUGAAAAAGGAUACAACCUCAACCACCGGGUAAACCUAAACUGCCCUCAAUAAAGUGGGCCUAAAAGCAGCCAUCUUUCAAAAAGCGUCAAAGCUUAGUCGAGUUACCAACCAAUCCCCACACUACCUAAGAACCCUUACACAAUACUGAGUAAUUCUAUACCCCUAUAGAAGAUUUCAUGUUAAAACUAGUAACAAGAAGAAGAACUUCUCCUAAAAUGCAAGUGUAAGUCAGACAGGACGCCCCACUGACAAUUAACACCUAUGAACAGAAAGUAGUAACUUAACAAGAAAACCCUACUACACCAUGUGUUAACCUAACACUAGAACAUUACAAGAAAGAUUUAAAGAAAAAGAAGGAACUCGGCAAAUUUUAACCUCGCCUGUUUACCAAAAACAUCGCCUCUUGAAAAAUAUAAGAGGUCCAGCCUGCCCAGUGACUCUGUUCAACGGCCGCGGUAUCCUAACCGUGCGAAGGUAGCGUAAUCACUUGUUCUUUAAAUAAGGACUAGUAUGAACGGCACCACGAAGGUUACACUGUCUCCUCUUUCCAAUCAGUGAAACUAAUCUCCCCGUGAAGAAGCGGGGAUAAACAUAUAAGACGAGAAGACCCUAUGGAGCUUUAAACAACACAACACCUGCUCUAAUUUAAUUAACUUUCAGAAAACUCCCAUUUACCAAUGCAGGAUGAUUGUCAGUUUUAGGUUGGGGUGACCGCGGAGCACAAAACAACCUCCACAUUGAAAGGAGCCCAUUCCUUAGCUAAGAGCUACGCCUCCACGCAUCAACAAAAUGACAUUAAUUGACCCAAUAUAUUGAUCAACGAACCAAGUUACCCUAGGGAUAACAGCGCAAUCCACUUUAAGAGCCCCUAUCGACAAGUGGGUUUACGACCUCGAUGUUGGAUCAGGGUAUCCAGGUGGUGCAGCCGCUAUCCAAGAGGUGUCGUGUUGUUCAGAC